rnacentral:pre_miRNA from 1 species
AAUAAACCAGUUUUUCACUUUUUACCUAUAAUUUUUGACUCUUCGUCUUAUUCAAAAUUUUUUUACGAUUAAUAUUAUUAGAUGAUAAAUUAUGAAUAAUACUUUAUGUGUGACUAAUUUUUUUCUAAUUUUCUAAAAAAUUUUCAAAUAAGACGGAUGGUCAAACGUCGGACACAAAACCGAAG